rnacentral:lncRNA from 1 species
GCCCCGCCCUUUUGGGGGCAGAGCACCAGCUGCCUGGUAGAUGGUUGUGCCCACGGACUUCGCUCAAGCCAGGCGUUCCGGACACCUUCCCCGGGGCCAAGGCCACAAAAUCAGCGGAGACGGCGUUUCCAACCGCAAAGUGCUUUCUCACAUUGAGUUUAAAAAUUUAUAGACAUGCGACUUCCGGACCUGCAGUGUCUGAUUUUGCAUCAUCUGCAACAAUUCAAGACAGAGUUAAAGGAGCGACUUGUCCAAACGCAUGCUCGGUCCGGGUCCUGUCAUCGCUGUCUCCGAGGGACCCGCUCAGCUGGGUACAGAAGGGUGACGUCAAGCAGGUCCGAGGGUAACAAACUGGAGAGCGUGAGCUCUGAGACCACAGUUUGGAGACAGUCGAGUGUCGUGUGCCUCUGGGCAGGAGGCUCGCUCUCUGUAAAGGCAGCAGGUGCCUCAGGCUGCAGCCUGGGAAGUGGGGCUUCCAGAUUCUACUGAGGAAAGAGAGCGUGAUUGGCAGACACGAAGCUUUCCGUGCACAGAGCUUGUCUUCCUGGGGCUACGUGGCGGUCUCCCUCGGAAUGUGUUCACCACAUAAACUAAGGGUCGUUUUUCAGCCAAAAGGCAUCUCUUCACCAUUUCUGUCAGAAUGGGAAUGCAGACCUUUGAAAGGUUUUCGUACACGAUGGUGAUGAGUCUGGGGUGAGUCCUCUGGACG